rnacentral:tRNA from 1 species
CCUCUGUAGUUCAGUCGGUAGAACGGCGGACUGUUAAUCCGUAUGUCACUGGUUCAAGUCCAGUCAGAGGAGCCA